rnacentral:rRNA from 1 species
UACGAAGGGGGCUAGCGUUGUUCGGAUUUACUGGGCGUAAAGCGCGUUCAGGCGGUUUGGCAAGUCGGGCAUGAAAUCUCUCGGCUCAACCGGGAGAGGUUGUCCGAUACUGUUAGACUGGAGGGCAGUAGAGGGUGGUGGAAUUCCGGGUGUAGUGGUGAAAUGCGUAGAGAUCCGGAGGAACACCUGUGGCGAAAGCGGCUCACUGGACCAUUACUGACGCUGAUGCUCGAAAGCUAGGGGAGCAAACGGG